rnacentral:rRNA from 1 species
UACGUAGGGUGCGAGCGUUGUCCGGAAUUACUGGGCGUAAAGAGCUCGUAGGUGGUUUGUCGCGUUGUUCGUGAAAACCUGAGGCUUAACCCUCGGCGUGCGGGCGAUACGGGCAGACUUGAGUACUGCAGGGGAGACUGGAAUUCCUGGUGUAGCGGUGGAAUGCGCAGAUAUCAGGAGGAACACCGGUGGCGAAGGCGGGUCUCUGGGCAGUAACUGACGCUGAGGAGCGAAAGCGUGGGGAGCGAACAGG